rnacentral:rRNA from 1 species
CAGUCGCCGCGGUAAUACGUAGGUGGCAAGCGUUGUCCGGAAUUAUUGGGCGUAAAGCGAGCGCAGGCGGUUAGAUAAGUCUGAAGUUAAAGGCUGUGGCUUAACCAUAGUACGCUCCGGAAACUGUUUAACUUGAGUGCAAGAGGGGAGAGUGGAAUUCCAUGUGUAGCGAUGAAAUGCGUAGAUAUAUGGAGGAACACCGGUGGCGAAAGCGGCUCUUUGGCUUGUAACUGACGCUGAGGCUCGAAAGCGUGGGGAGCAAACAGGAUUAGAUACCCGCGUAGUCCCUGUCUCUUAUACA